rnacentral:rRNA from 1 species
GAUGAACGCUGGCGGCGUGCCUAAUACAUGCAAGUCGAGCGAACAGACGAGGAGCUUGCUCCUCUGACGUUAGCGGCGGACGUGUGAGUAACACGUGGAUAACCUACCUAUAAGACUGGGAUAACUUCGGGAAACCGGCGCUAAUACCGGAUAAUAUAUUGAACCGCAUGGUUCAAUAGUGAAAGACGGUUUUGCUGUCACUUCUAGAUGGAUCCGCGCCGCAUUAGCUAGUUGGUAAGGUAACGGCUUACCAAGGCAACGAUGCGUAGCCGACCUGAGAGGGUGAUAGGCCACACUGGAACUGAGACACGGUCCAGACUCCUACGGGAGGCAGCAGUAGGGAAUCUUCCGCAAUGGGCGAAAGCCUGACGGAGCAACGCCGCGUGAGUGAUGAAGGUCUUCGGAUCGUAAAACUCUGUUAUUAGGGAAGAACAAAUGUGUAAGUAACUAUGCACGUCUUGACGGUACCUAAUCAGAAAGCCACGGCUAACUACGUG